GAUUUCUGGCUUGAAGCAUUUGGCCGGCCACGGUUUCGUGUGUUAGUGCUUUGUGCUCUGGCCAUCCUUCCAAUCGCUGCGUACCUUUCUUCAUUGAUUGGUGCGUGGUAUUGGAUCUUUUACUUUGAAAAAAUUAGAGUGUUUCAAGCAGGCUUUAUGCUAUGAAUACAUUAGCAUGGAAUAAUAAUUUAGGACUUUGGUCUUAUUUUGUUGGUUUCUAGGACUAAAGUAAUGAUUGAUAGGGACAGUUGGGGGUGCUAGUAUUCAGCGGCCAGAGGUGAAAUUCUUGGAUUCGCUGAAGACUAACUUAUGCGAAAGCAUU
rnacentral:rRNA from 1 species